rnacentral:rRNA from 1 species
UGAGUAACCUGCCCUUAACUCUGGGAUAAGCCUGGGAAACUGGGUCUAAUACCGGAUAUGACUCCUCAUCGCAUGGUGGGGGGUGGAAAGCUUUAUUGUGGUUUUGGAUGGACUCGCGGCCUAUCAGCUAGUUGGUGUGGGUAAUGGCUCACCAAGGCGACGACGGGUAGCCGGCCUGAGAGGGUGACCGGCCACACGUGGGACUGAGACACGGCCCAGACUCCGUACGGGAGGCAGG